UGUGCCCUAUGAUGGACUAGUCUCCCAUCCAGGGUGUAUCCCAUCUUGCACCCGUCCCUUGUCGAAAUAGGUUUUGUCUCCCCAGCAACCCUAAAUUGGAUGAAGCUGUUAGAAAAUGGAUAAAGAGCGAGAAAUCUGAGCAAUCCUAUGGGAUUUCCACUAUUAUCUUCAGCAUCUGAUAUCUGCUGGUCAUUCACAGGCACUAGGUAGAUAAGAGGGAGACAUCCUGGAACAGAAAGGCCCAAUUGAUUCAUUCCACGGUGGAGGGAGGAACUGCUUGUUUCUCCUGGUAAUCAAAGUCAAAGACAAGGUCUCUAGUGUGUAUCAUGGUUACGAUCUGGCUCACCCUGUUUUAACCAAGUGGUUAGUGGACGUGGACCGAAAUAAUUCAAAAUGAGAUGACAGAUUGAACUACGUAACUUGACAAUACGUAAAGUACUGUACUUUAAAAUACUUUUCAUAAAUAUGUAAUCUAAUUACUAUUUUUCAUGCAAAAGAUGUUUAGUCUUGUCCUCGUUAAUCUUUCAUCAAUAACCAGUUACACCAGCUGCAGUUAAUAAAGCAACUAUUUAAAAACGGCACCUGAGCUGUCAAAGUUUAUUUUCAGUAGAUGGGAGCAAAUUAGUUUAAAAUUUAUUUAAAUAACUUUAGAAAAUGAACAUUUAUCUUAGGUUGUCUAAGAAAUAGACCAUUAUGUUAUCUUCUGGAAACUGCUCUAUUUCACUUAGAUUGACUGAAAUACCAGAAUGCUUUAUUUUACUGGGAAACUAAUUGGAAACAAUAAAGUAAGAGUUGAAAAUGUUAAUACUUAAAGAGACUUUGAAAAGUUAUGCAAAUGGAAAAAUUCCACACUUCUUAGCUCUCGUCACUGGUCACUGGUUUAAUGGUUGUUUCAAAGUUAUCGAAUUGAACAUGUUCAGCAUUUUCCUUGUCAGAAGCAUGAACACUGCUACAACAAUCUGUGUAUAUACUCCCACUUACCGUCAACUCUAGUCAUAAAUCAAAUGGCAGCGACGCCUCUAGCAACAGCAUGCCUCUACUAAUGCCAAAACUGCAUCAUAUUACUUAAAUUUUACAGAUUACACAAGUUUACAACACAUUGUGUCUUCUGAUUCUGACUAAGAUGGCUAAGAACAGAUUUUCAAAGGUCCUGCUCCUUGCUCUAUAACAGUAUCUCAAACUUAGGCCUGGAUAGCCUUGUGUCUUAGGGUUUUUGUUCCAACCUGAGCAGUCAAUGAAACAAUUAUUAUUAAUAAGACAUAUUCACUGCCUAUUAUACUAAACAUUAUUUUCUUUUAUAGGCACAGCUAGCUAUGAAUCACCUUGGAGCCUGGUUAGAAGUAUUACAGUUAUGCAGCUAAUUAAAUAAUUAGACCUUCUUUGUAAAUAAGAAUGUGAAUGGACCAAAAACACACGACACUAGACCAUCCAGAUUUAGAGUUUAAGACCCCUGCUCUAUGAGUUGCAGCACUUAGCCAAUGAAAAUCCCUGAAAGACUGGCAGGCUUCUCAGGGAUUAAGAACUAUAUAUUGAC